GUCUGGAAAGGCGCGCGAUACGGGUGACAGCCCCGUACACAAAAGCGCAUGUGCUGUGAGCUCGAUGAGUAGGGCGGGACACGUGGUAUCCUGUCUGAAUAUGGGGGGACCAUCCUCCAAGGCUAAAUACUCCUGACUGACCGAUAGUGAACCAGUACCGUGAGGGAAAGGCGAAAAGAACCCCGGCGAGGGGAGUGAAAAAGAACCUGAAACCGUGUACGUACAAGCAGUGGGAGCACCCUUUGGGGUGUGACUGCGUACCUUUUGUAUAAUGGGUCAGCGACUUAUAUUCUGUAGCAAGGUUAACCGUAUAGGGGAGCCGAAGGGAAACCGAGUCUUAACCG
rnacentral:rRNA from 1 species